UUUUAAAUGUUACUUUACAAUUGUUUCCAGAUAUUGAUGAAUGCGUAAACUUGUCUGAUGACUGUAACUGGGAAAAUAGUGAUUGUGUGAACACCAAUGGAAGUUACUAUUGCACUUGCAAAUCUGGAUGGAGAUUGAAUAACAACAGUUGUGUUGAUGUUAAUGAAUGCAAUGAGUUAGAGAAAUAUUGCAACUUCGCUAACACUGAUUGUGUUAACACUAAUGGAAGUUACAAUUGUACAAGCAAGUUAGGCUGGAUAUUGAAAAACAACAGUUGUGUUGAUGUCAAUGAAUGCAAUGAGUUGGAUAAAUAUUGCAACUUGACUAACAGUGAUUGUGUGAACACUAAUGGAAGGUACAAUUGUACUUGCAAGUCUGAGUGGAUGUUGGAAAACAGCAGUUGUGUUGGUCA